rnacentral:lncRNA from 1 species
AGAAGAAGUGUUCCAAAAGGCCCAGCUUAAAUCGUGGUUAUGGAUGAAACAUAGGGCACAUAACUUUAAUUACGGCUUUGCAUAUUGGAUUCUGAAUCCAAUACCAUGCAUUAGUAGCUAUAAGUAAACGGUAGUAGGUGAAACCAAGUUGCUUUGAAUGAAUCAAGAGGGAGGGCAGUGUUGCUAGUGAAAAGUGGGG